GAGGAAUAUUGGUCAAUGGGCGAGAGCCUGAACCAGCCAUCCCGCGUGCAGGAUGACGGCCCUAUGGGUUGUAAACUGCUUUUCUACGCCAAGAAACGGCUCUACGUGUAGGGCACUGACGGUAGCGUAGGAAUAAGCAUCGGCUAACUCCGUGCCAGCAGCCGCGGUAAUACGGAGGAUGCAAGCGUUAUCCGGAUUCAUUGGGUUUAAAGGGUGCGCAGGCGGGGAUGUAAGUCAGUGGUGAAAAACUGCCGCUUAACGGUAGUCGUGCCAUUGAUACUGCAUCUCUUGAGUUUGGAUGAGGUAGGCGGAAUGUGCAGUGUAGCGGUGAAAUGCAUAGAGAUUGCACAGAACACCAAUUGCGAAGGCAGCUUACUAAUCCACGACUGACGCUGAGGCACGAAAGCGUGGGGAGCGAAC
rnacentral:rRNA from 1 species